UACGUAGGGGGCAAGCGUUGUUCGGAAUCAUUGGGCGUAAAGGGCGUGUAGGCGGCUUGGUAAGUCAGAUGUGAAAGCCCUGGGCUUAACCCAGGAAGUGCAUUUGAAACUGUCAGGCUUGAGUAGGGGAGAGGAAGGUGGAAUUCCUGGUGUAGAGGUGAAAUUCGUAGAUAUCAGGAGGAACACCGGUGGCGAAGGCGACCUUCUGGCCCUAUACUGACGCUGAGGUGCGAAAGCGUGGGGAGCAAAC
rnacentral:rRNA from 1 species